rnacentral:rRNA from 1 species
AGUGAACGCUGGCGGUAGGCCUAACACAUGCAAGUCGAACGGCAGCACAGUAAGAGCUUGCUCUUACGGGUGGCGAGUGGCGGACGGGUGAGGAAUACAUCGGAAUCUACUUUUUCGUGGGGGAUAACGUAGGGAAACUUACGCUAAUACCGCAUACGACCUACGGGUGAAAGCAGGGGAUCUUCGGACCUUGCGCGAUUGAAUGAGCCGAUGUCGGAUUAGCUAGUUGGCGGGGUAAAGGCCCACCAAGGCGACGAUCCGUAGCUGGUCUGAGAGGAUGAUCAGCCACACUGGAACUGAGACACGGUCCAGACUCCUACGGGAGGCACCAGUGGGGAAUAUUGGACAAUGGGCGCAAGCCUGAUCCAGCCAUACCGCGUGGGUGAAGAAGGCCUACGGGUUGUAAAGCCCUUUUGUUGGGAAAGAAAAGCAGCAGGUUAAUACCCCGCUGUUCUGACGGUACCCAAAGAAUAAGCACCGGCUAACUUCGUG